GGUAGGGUAUUAUAAUGAGUAUGCUGGGUUCAUGCCCCCGCGGCGGAGGGUAGAUAGAUCCCCCCCCUACUU